rnacentral:lncRNA from 1 species
GGAGAGGGGAGGAGCUCUCCUUCGAGGCUGGGGAGGCAGACCCAUUUGGGGAGCAAGGAGCCCUGUCAGGGGUCAUGGUCCUCUCAGGACUGUGGGGACAGGUCUCAGGGCCUCCUCCUUCCCACCCGGAGAAGCAGACCCAGGAAAGGGACACUUCAGGGACUGUGGCAGCAAUUCCUUCAACAACAGGCAGCAGCUAACAUUUCCUGGGUCCUCUGCGAGUAGCUUUACACGCAUUAGGUCAGUCAAUCCUCAGAGUCUCCAGGAACCAGGACUGGCAGCCUCCCAUGUUCCAGAUGAGGAUACUGAGACCCAGAUUUCUGAGACCAUUCACAGCACCAGGUCUUGGAAUUCAGGCUGCCUGACUCCCGCAUCGAGCACAUAACCUCUUCUCUGACCCUCUCUUCUGAGAACUCACCCAGGACCUGGAGCCCACCUGUCCUGCCAUCUUCUCUGCUAAGGCCCCACCCCACUGCAGUGCAGGGGCCGCUGAAUCCAGGGUGCCUUCCUGGGAGCAGAAACAUCUGAAGAGGACUCUGGAGAAGAGUGUGGGAUCGGUUCCCAAACCUGAGAGGGACAUAAAUUUUCCCCAGCAGCACCCCGGAAACGGAGGGCUCCUGGGAAGAUGAAAUGGGAUGGCGUAUACAAGGCCCCGGACAGGGACAGGUUCCCCAGUCAGACACCCCCACCAGACGCCCUCCCCCAGGCUCCUAGCCGCUCCCGGCCCCCAGCUGGGGAAGACUGGAACUCAAAUGUGGCAGUGACCAGAUUUCAACAGGGAACGAUUGAGCCACAAGAUGGAAGGCACAUGGGCUCCUGACUGGAGCAGAGUAAACCUUGUUCUUUAAGUCACAUGAUUGUUGGAACUCUUGUUUUGGC